rnacentral:rRNA from 1 species
CCUACGGGAGGCAGCAGUAGGGAAUAUUGCUCAAUGGGGGAAACCCUGAAGCAGCAACGCCGCGUGGAGGAUGAAGGUCUUCGGAUUGUAAACUCCUUUUGUUAGAGAAGAUAAUGACGGUAUCUAACGAGUAAGCACCGGCUAACUCCGUGCCAGCAGCCGCGGUAAUACGGAGGGUGCAAGCGUUAGUCGGAAUCACUGGGCGUAAAGAGCGCGUAGGCGGGCUAGCAAGUCUGAUGUUAAAUCCUAUGGCUUAACUAUGGAACUGGGUUUGAAACUUUUUUUCUAGAGUAUGGGAGAGGUAGGCGGAAUUCUUGGUGUAGCGGUGAAAUGCGUAGAGAUUAAGAGGAAUACUCGUGGCGAAGGCGACCUGCUAGACCUUAACUGACGCUGAGGCUCGAAAGCGUGGGGAGCAAACAGGAUUAGAUACCCUAGUAGUC